CUACAAUCCAGUUACGUGAGAAACCGUAAAUCGUUAUUCUGAUUGCAUUUGCACGAGUACACGAGUUUUUGUUUGGGUUCAGAAACACUGGAAGACCUGAAGAGAGCUCGUGAAGCCAGCCUAUCAUUUGUCGUGGAACUAUGAGGCUACGAGAAACAGGUCAGCCACAAAAAAUGGAUAAAAAUGGGCAACAAUAAAGCCACCCAUGGCCUGCUCAAAAAACAAUGCGAAAAUGAUAUCAAUCCAUGCUUUGCUUCAACAUAUUUCCCCUCUUCCACACCACUAAACCAUGGGUGAUGGUUCGAAAUACCUCCACACUCGUUAUAAUCAAUGGGUACAUUAUAGUUUUUUCAACUGUAAAUUAAGAAUAAACCCAAAUAAAAAGACAAAAAUUACAACUCUUCUCUACCAACAUUAACAGAAUUACACCCGUAUUACAUCUUAAAAAUUAUCAGGAUGUUUCAAUCUGUGGUGUGAAAAUGGUUCUGAACAUUUUUCACAAUGACUAUGAAAAGAAAAUAUGCAGGAGCUCCAAAAGCAUCAGAAUUCCUGACCAGGACUGAACUUUGUAGAUCUAAGAGCAAAUGCAAGGGGCAAAACUCCCAUCACAACUAUUUCCCAAAAGAAAAGAACCAGGACACAACUUCAUGGCACUCUACUUGUCUGGAUGCCCCCGUUUAGCCUUACGACGAGAGUGGCUUGUGUUAGCGUUUCGAUUAGGUCUCUUUGCCUUUUUGCAGAAAAUAGCUGAACAAAUUCUGGACAAAAUGAUGAUGGGUAAGGCCAACAAGGCAGAGGCCGUAAACCAGAUCAACUCCUUAGUUGCAAGAGGUUUAGUCAGCUCAUGCUUAUUCAGUGUUUCUUGUACAGUGCCUUGCACCUGAUGAUGGUAUGUAGUUGCAGACUCCAAAAAUUUUCUGUAAGCGUGAACUGCCUGCUUCGUGUAGGGCUUCAAAACCACCCUAACCUUAUCAACAUGGGGUUUUGUCAUAGUGGCCACUUGAUCAACAUAAGGCUUACUGAACUUCUUAGCUUCCUGAAAGUAUGGAUCAACAAAUUCUUGCACUCUAAUGAUGUGUGGGGUUAUUGCAGUCUUUGAGGCUUCAUAAGCUUCAAUGAUUUUUGCAGUAACUGAUUGCACAUGUGGUUCAACAUGAGCUGUUAUCAGCAACCAUUGCUCCUUCACAGCUGGGAUCCAUUUCUUCAAGCAACAGUUCAAAGAACAAUAAGUACAAAACAAUCAAACAUUGUUCCAUUAAAGGAGAACUCUUAGCAAAAAGCUAAACUAACAGACAGUAAAUAGCUGAAAACCCUUGAUUUAUCUCUUUGUAAGACCAAAUUUCAAUACGCUCACAGCAAGAACAUGCAAUCUGACAAAGGGAAAAAUAAGUGACUGCAUCGGAAAUUGUAGUCGUUAUGCUCCACAUUAAAUAAUGGAAGUCAGAGCAGAAACUUAGAGAAUAAAGAAAGAGAUCUUACAGUUUUAAUUGUUUCCAUGUGGGGUUUAGCCCACUUUUCGGCAUCAGCUUUUUUCUCCAGGGCCUUUUGAAUCACCAACUCCAUGGCAGGCUUUCCAUGUUCAUCCCAAUGUGUCUGGACCAAAGACUGACAACGGACUACUUGUACAGCAAGCCAGGGUGGAAGCCAUGCACCAUGAACCUCACUUAAUUGUUGAGUUUUUGAGGAAGCUUCAAACUUUGCCUUCAUCAUUUCUUCCUCAGCAACUUUAAGAGCACGCUCUGUCUUGCGGAGUUUGCUCUUCUGUUCAUCAAUAACCUUUUGAAGAUUCUCUAGUUUCAAGUUUAAUUCACCUAUCUUCUUUUCAGCUUCAUCGGCUUUUGCUUCCAAAGCAUCUUUCUGCCUCUGUUGUGUUUCCAAUUCCUUUUUAAGUUUGUCAACCUGAUGCUCCAGUUGGCCAGCCCGUGCAUGAGCCUUUCCCACCUGCUCUGCAGUGUCUAGUUUCCCCUUUUUCUGAAGGGAAGAUAUUUUGCUUCCCAAGGACACAAUACUAUCUGAUUUUUCUUGAAUGAUUUUCUCCUUCUGCGCUAUUAUAUCAUCUUUGCUCUUCAAUUGUACAGUUUUCUCAUCCAUUCGGGAUUCAAGGUCGUGGAUCUUAAACUUGAGUUGGUCAAGUUCGAUCUUCAAAGCGGAGGAAUCGGCGGCGCCCGAUUCAAGGACUUGAGCGUCGGCUUCGAUUGAAACAUACGGCCUAACGGUGGAGAAAACUAGGGCAAAAAAGAACGAGAAAAUGAGGAGUUUUGAGGUCGCCAUGAAGCUAAAACCCAAUCUCGCUAAAACGCAGAGAAGGGGAAAGAAGAUUCUCCGAGGACGAGAGGUUGCUUGCUAUAUCAAGUACCACCUACAAACGUGUUAUAAAAU
rnacentral:misc_RNA from 1 species